rnacentral:rRNA from 1 species
AUUGAACGCUGGCGGCAGGCCUAACACAUGCAAGUCGAACGAGUGGCGGACGGGAGAGUAAGGUCUGGGCAACUGCGCGAGGGAUGGGGAUAACUAAUGGAAACGGUAACUACUACCGCAUACCAUCGGAUGUGCCCAGAUGGGAUUAGCUAGUAGGUGGGGUAACGGCUUACCUAGGCGACGAUCUCUAGCUGGUCUGAGAGGAUGACCAGCCACACUGGAACUGAGACACGGUCCAGACUCCUACGGGAGGCAGCAGUGGGGAAUAUUGCACAAUGGGCGAAAGCCUGAUGCAGCCAUGCCGCGUGUAUGAAGAAGGCCUUCGGGUUGUAAAGUACUUUCAGCGAGGAGGCGUUACUCGCAGAAGAAGCACCGGCUAACUUCGUGCCAGCAGCCGCGGUAAUAC